UUUAUGACAGUUGGUUCAACAGGUUGAUCGUCAGGAUUAAAUAUUAAUUUCCGUGUCAGAGAAUCAGGAGCAGCAGGAGUCGGUCUGUUCUCACACUGAAGAUCCAAACUGAACCAGAAACCACUGAGUUCUGAACUCAACUGAACUUGGUGGCCACUCUUGGCGGCGGGCUGACUGACUCAAAUCUCUUUCUUUACUGGAAGUUCUUUCAUCGAGACGCAACAAAUGUCACACCUGGAACUCAACUAACAUGUUCAAGCAUGUCGCUCGGGUGUGUUUCUUACUGCUGCUGUUGGUCAAAAGCACAGGGCCAGUCCAGACAAACAUCUCAGCUACUGAAAGACAAGAUGCCACUCUGCCAUGUAAAGCUGCAAACAACAAGAACAUCUUGGCCGUAUCCUGGACCAGACCGGACCUGAAGGAGAACCAGCUUGUUUUCUUCUACAGAGACGGAUACUUUGAGCCAGAUAAUCAUCCUUCUUAUAAGAACCGAGUGGAGCUGAAGGACAGAACGAUGAAGGACGGAGACGUGAGUCUGAUUCUGAAGAAAGUGACCUUCAAUGACAGUGGGACAUACAAGUGUUUGACUGUCCAGAGAGGAGAAAACAACAAUAACUCUGAGUCCCACAGCUUCAUCUCUCUCUCAGUGGUUCCUUCUCGAGGAGACCCAGAAGGACAAGGAUGGGAAGGAGGGAGAGAGGAUGAAGGGGGAAAGGAUGGAGGGGGAGGGCAUGUUGGUCUGAGUGCUGGUCUGCUCUGGUUGUUGUUGGCGCUAUUUUUGGUGUGAUGUUUCUAAGACACCAGAAGAAGAAGAAGAACUCUCCUCCUCCUGCUGCUGCUGCUCCAGAACAAGAUACAAUGUUGCGUCAGGUUAACACUUAGAGACACACUAGAGUCUCUCCUGACUCUCCUCUCCUCCACGUUAGAAAAUAUUCUCAUGUUGGAUCUUUAAAACUGGACCUGCUGUUCACUGUGAUGAGAAACAUGUUUCUCAGUCUGGGGGCGGAAUUCAGGAGAACUGCUGCACAUAAAGCUUUUUUGUUUUAACUCAUUUUACUUCGUUUUUGUUCCUGGAAACACAGAUUUUAAAUUGAUCAGAAAAUCUUUCCAGAUGUAACACUUGUUCACUGAUUUUGGUAUAGUUGCCUUUUUAUAAUCCAGUUUGUUUUGUGUCUUGACAUUUUAGAAAUGAAGAUCAAAAAAUAAAAAAUGUGAAAAAAUAAGUAUACGAGUGCAGCUCAAGACCAACAUUAAAAAAAAAAAAAAGUUUUUUUUUUUUUUUAACAACGUGAUGAGUUGCAGAUCAUCCGCACCAUCCCGGUUCAGCUUCUCAGUAUUAAUAUGAGAUUCUAUUAAACUCCAGGCUCAAUAACACAAUAAAUGUUCAGAUCAAAUACUGUAUGUCUGGCAGCUGCAUGACUGCUGUAUUUCUGCACUAUUAGCGGACUGACUCUUGAGUGCUGUUCAGGACUGACGCGACUGUUUCAUCUAGUAUUCUUCAUAUUAUGCAUGUCUAUGUUUAGGUACAGUGCGUCUGUGUAAACAGGUGUGUAAAAGAUGUAUUGUGUAACAAAAAAACAAGUAUUAGUCUGCCUGCAUGCCUCUUUUCCUUUUUUGUUUUGAACGAGAGACACCUGGCACCAGUGAAGGAUGUGUGUAGAGUUGGACGGUACCUUGCAUUGGUGUGUGAUGUACAGAGAGUUUGAAGGUCCUGGUCAGUACGACUAGGAGGAGGUCAAGGAACGGAUGUCAUAAAAAAAAGACAAAAGAACCAACAGGUUCGUAGCUGUGCCACACCUGGGAGUACCCGGUCACGGCAGAGUGUCGCACAGUCAAAAAGAGAAAAAACUGAGAUGCUGCUGUGUUUCCAGAAACGGUAUAAAAGGGCAGAGAUGAGAAUGUGUUUCUGCAUCAGUCUCAGACGGUCAGCAGGCUG